rnacentral:rRNA from 1 species
GACGAACGCUGGCGGCGUGCUUAACACAUGCAAGUCGAACGGAAAGGCCCUGCUUUUGUGGGGUGCUCGAGUGGCGAACGGGUGAGUAACACGUGAGUAACCUGCCCUUGACUUUGGGAUAACUUCAGGAAACUGGGGCUAAUACCGGAUAGGAGCUCCUGCUGCAUGGUGGGGGUUGGAAAGUUUCGGCGGUUGGGGAUGGACUCGCGGCGUAUCCGCUUGUUGGUGAGGUAGUGGCUUACCCAGGCUUUGACGGGUAGCCGGCGUGAGGGGGUGACCCGCCCCACUGGAAGUGGGAAACGGUCCAGGCUCCGACGGGAAGCAGCGGGCGGGAAGCUGCCGCAAUGGGCGGAAGCCUGGCGGAGCAACGCCGCGGGGGUGAUGAAGGUCCUCGGAGCGGAAAACUCUGUUAGGAGGGAAGAACAAAUGUGUAAGUAAAUAUGCACGUCUUGACGGUACCUAAUCAGAAAGCCACGGCUAACUACGUG